UAGCACUUCAUACUAGCCAAGCUAUCUGUAGCGGAGCCUUGAUGAAAGGCUUGUUAUAUGACAGCUGGAUUUAAGAAGUGCAGCAUUAAAACAAGAGUCAUGAAUUUCUUGGGAGUGGAGCAAUAGCACAGCG